rnacentral:rRNA from 1 species
GACGAACGUUGGCGGCGUGCUUAACACAUGCAAGUCGAACGGAAAGGCCCUGCUUUUGUGGGGUGCUCGAGUGGCGAACGGGUGAGUAACACGUGAGUAACCUGCCCUUGACUUUGGGAUAACUUCAGGAAACUGGGGCUAAUACCGGAUAGGAGCUCCUGCUGCAUGGUGGGGGUUGGAAAGUUUCGGCGGUUGGGGAUGGACUCGCGGCUUAUCAGCUUGUUGGUGGGGUAGUGGCUUACCAAGGCUUUGACGGGUAGCCGGCCUGAGAGGGUGACCGGCCACAUUGGGACUGAGAUACGGCCCAGACUCCUACGGGAGGCAGCAGUGGGGAAUAUUGCACAAUGGGCGGAAGCCUGAUGCAGCAACGCCGCGUGCGGGAUGACGGCCUUCGGGUUGUAAACCGCUUUCGCCUGUGACGAAGCGUGAGUGACGGUAAUGGGUAAAGAAGCACCGGCUAACUACGUGCCAGCAGCCGCGGUGAUACGUAGGGUGCGAGCGUUGUCCGGAUUUAUUGGGCGUAAAGGGCUCGUAGGUGGUUGAUCGCGUCGGAAGUGUAAUCUUGGGGCUUAACCCUGAGCGUGCUUUCGAUACGGGUUGACUUGAGGAAGGUAGGGGAGAAUGGAAUUCCUGGUGGAGCGGUGGAAUGCGCAGAUAUCAGGAGGAACACCAGUGGCGAAGGCGGUUCUCUGGGCCAUUCCUGACGCUGAGGAGCGAAAGCGUGGGGAGCGAACAGGCUUAGAUACCCUGGUAGUCCACGCUGUAAACGGUGGGUACUAGGUGUGGGGUCCAUUCCACGGGUUCCGUGCCGUAGCUAACGCUUUAAGUACCCCGCCUGGGGAGUACGGCCGCAAGGCUAAAACUCAAAGGAAUUGACGGGGCCCCGCACAAGCGGCGGAGCAUGCGGAUUAAUUCGAUGCAACGCGUAGAACCUUACCUGGGUUUGACAUGGAUCGGGAGCGCUCAGAGAUGGGUGUGCCUCUUUUGGGGUCGGUUCACAGGUGGUGCAUGGCUGUCGUCAGCUCGUGUCGUGAGAUGUUGGGUUAAGUCCCGCAACGAGCGCAACCCUUGUUCACUGUUGCCAGCACGUUAUGGUGGGGACUCAGUGGAGACCGCCGGGGUCAACUCGGAGGAAGGUGGGGAUGACGUCAAGUCAUCAUGCCCCUUAUGUCCAGGGCUUCACGCAUGCUACAAUGGCUGGUACAGAGAGUGGCGAGCCUGUGAGGGUGAGCGAAUCUCGGAAAGCCGGUCUCAGUUCGGAUUGGGGUCUGCAACUCGACCUCAUGAAGUCGGAGUCGCUAGUAAUCGCAGAUCAGCAACGCUGCGGUGAAUACGUUCCCGGG